UGCUAGACGAGUUUGAUCAUGGCUCAGAUUGAACGCUGGCGGCAGGCUUAACACAUGCAAGUCGAGCGGUAACACUUCGGGUGACGAGCGGCGGACGGGUGAGUAAUACAUAGGAAUCUGCCUAGUAGUGGGGGAUAACGUAGGGAAACUUACGCUAAUACCGCAUACAUCCUACGGGGGAAAGCAGGGGAUCUUCGGACCUUGCGCUAUUAGAUGAGCCUAUGUCGGAUUAGCUAGUUGGUGAGGUAACGGCUCACCAAGGCAACGAUGCGUAGCCGACCUGAGAGGGUGAUCGGCCACACUGGGACUGAGACACGGCCCAGACUCCUACGGGAGGCAGCAGUAGGGAAUCUUCCGCAAUGGACGAAAGUCUGACGGAGCAACGCCGCGUGAGUGAUGAAGGUUUUCGGAUCGUAAAACUCUGUUGUUAGGGAAGAACAAGUGCCGUUCGAAAGGGCGGCACCUUGACGGUACCUAACGAGAAAGCCACGGCUAACUACGUG
rnacentral:rRNA from 1 species